GCGUAGGUGGCUCAGUGGUCGAGCACUUGACUUGCAAUCUGCAGGUCCUGGGUUCGAAUCCCGCCAUGUACC
rnacentral:tRNA from 1 species